rnacentral:lncRNA from 12 species
CCCCAAACAGAGCUGAGCCCAGAGGGAGGCAUUGGGGGUGGGGGUUCAAGAGGAAGUUCCUGCUGUUGCUGCAGAGCAGAGAGGAGCAUGGGAUGGCUGAGCAUCCUUAGAGGAGCCUGAGAGGCAAGAUGCGACGCUUGCCAUGUAUCACUCGCCAGCCGUGCAGUCUCCACUCGCCUGCCCAGGAAGACCGCUGGCACUGCUGAUGCUGCUGUUAUGUCUGCACUAGGUGGAGACAAGCCUCCCUCCUGCGGGAUGAACAUUCCUUGUGCCUCUUGACCUACCCAGACAUUUCCUUUCACCUCAUCAGUGAAGAACUGUCUACAUUCUACCAAGCCAGCACCCUCACCUAAUCCCACAGAAUUGGCCCACUCCCAGGCCAAGCCUAACUGCAUAUUCAACAUUAAAAUCAACUAAACUUUUUUAAACCUUUUAGGAAAUGCCUCUCUUUUUCUGCGACCAAGAAGGCACUAUG